UUUUUUUUUUUUUUUUUGUAAUUCCUAUUUUAGAAUGUGAUAAAGCAAAACAUUACGCGAUCUGCUAACACAAUUAGGUAAAAUCAGAAUAAUAAAUGGCACUAAAUAAUAUCUACAAAAAGAUAUUAGAGACCAACAAUAAAGCAAAACAAAAAAAAGGCAGAAACUAGGUAAAAGAAGAAGGAUCUGAGUCUAUUUGAUUAUUGUGGAAAACAAAAAAAGUCAUAUGUUGCUUACUUGCUUUUAAUUUUAAUUUACAGUCUUAAGGGAAGCUUUAUCAGGACCAUUUCACAACAAAAUAAGGUAGAAAUGGUUAAACUUGAUUUUUAAACCAGUCAGGUUCAAUCGGAUCUGGAUAGGACCCAUGGGGGAAGAAUCCAAAUUCUGCCUAUCUGAUUCUAUUGAUUCGCCAUUGAUUCAUGGUAAUAUGCAGUUCUGUAGUUGGGUUUGUAUCAGCAAGGGAAACAGAGGGGAUCAAAACGAGCUGAUGGAUUUGAAUCAAGAACUGGCAUAUUCUAAUUUAAAAGAACAGAGUUUUAAAGCUAUAUCUAGAAUACAGUUUAUAAGCCAAUUGAAUGAAGGGGAAAAUGUCUCCUUUAUGUGGGAUUCUGAGUGGUCUUAAUCCAACUAGUUUGGGAUUAAAGCUUCGUUGUUGUUUCAUUUUAAAAAUGUCUUUUUGAAUAAGAAUGGACGUGACUGAAAUAGGCAAGAGGCAAUUUCCAUAGAAUAAUUUUAUGCUUCUAA
rnacentral:misc_RNA from 1 species